rnacentral:rRNA from 1 species
CGGACCUGACUGCUAUCGGAUUGAUACUAAGCCAUGCGAGUCAUUGUAGCAAUACAAGGCAUACGGCUCAGUAACGCGUAGUCAACCUAACCUAUGGACGGGAAUAACCUCGGGAAACUGAGAAUAAUGCCCGAUAGAACAUUAUGCCUGGAAUGGUUUAUGUUCCAAAUGAUUUAUCGCCGUAGGAUGGGACUGCGGCCUAUCAGUUUGUUGGUGAGGUAAUGGCCCACCAAGACUAUUACAGGUACGGGCUCUGAGAGGAGUAGCCCGGAGAUGGGUACUGAGACACGGACCCAGGCCCUAUGGGGCGCAGCAGGCGAGAAAACUUUGCAAUGUGCAAAAGCACGACAAGGUUAAUCCGAGUGGUUUCUGCUAAAGGAACCUUUUGUCAGUCCUAGAAACACUGAUGAAUAAGGGGUGGGCAAGUUCUGGUGUCAGCCGCCGCGGUAAAACCAGCACCUCAAGUGGUCAGGAUGAUUAUUGGGCCUAAAGCAUCCGUAGCCGGCUCUGUAAGUUUUCGGUUAAAUCUGUACGCUCAACGUACAGGCUGCCGGGAAUACUGCAAAGCUAGGGAGUGGGAGAGGUAGACGGUACUCGGUAGGAAGGGGUAAAAUCCUUUGAUCUAUUGAUGACCACCUGUGGCGAAGGCGGUCUACCAGAACACGUCCGACGGUGAGGGAUGAAAGCUGGGGGAGCAAACCGGAUUAGAUACCCGGGUAGUCCCAGCUGUAAACCAUGCAAACUCAGUGAUGCACUGGCUUGUGGCCAAUGCAGUGCUGCAGGGAAGCCGUUAAGUUUGCCGCCUGGGAAGUACGUACGCAAGUAUGAAACUUAAAGGAAUUGGCGGGG